CGGCGGACGGGUGAGUAACGCGUGGGUAACCUGCCUCAUACAGGGGGAUAACAGUUAGAAAUGACUGCUAAUACCGCAUAAGACCACAGCACCGCAUGGUGCAGGGGGUAAAAACUCCGGUGGUAUGAGAUGGACCCGCGUCUGAUUAGCUAGUUGGUAAGGUAACGGCUUACCAAGGCGACGAUCAGUAGCCGACCUGAGAGGGUGACCGGCCACAUUGGGACUGAGACACGGCCCAA
rnacentral:rRNA from 1 species